rnacentral:lncRNA from 1 species
UUGUUUGUCCGGUUGGGCUUCGGGGAGGUUAACGAAGUUGAUGCGGUGAGAGAUUGAAGAGUCAGCGAUGGUGAAUGGUUGGUCGUAGGGAAGCUUCAUGACGAGGACUGUGAUAAACAGUUGGUCGUCCCGAGCAACGAGUUGCUCUGCAAUCUCGAUCGCUGAUACGAUGUGGCCGAUAACCGGGCCGGGAACGACAACUAGUUGUGCUGGUCUCUUCAUCUUUUCGGAAAUGGCAAUGAAAAGCUCAGCUGUUUUAUUUAGAAAAAAUGUUUCAUAUUAUAGUAGAGUGGUGUGAUGUCAUGCCUUCGCUCACAGUUUCUGAAUUACUGGACAAGUCAAGAUCUUAAUUAGUUUAAUAUUGGAAUGACGGAAAUCAAGCCAGAGGAUAAAACAAAAGGUUAUCAGAUUUGAUUUUGGUCGCACUACUAGUCGUAGGCCAGUGCAACUGUUUUGCCAUUAUUACAAGUCGGUCAAAGAGUAGGAAUUGAAAAGAUAUAUUAUGGAUUAGCACAACCAAUAAAGUUUCACUAUGAUAUUCACAAACAUCAUUUUACUUUUUUCAUAUUCUUUAAUUUUUUGUAAUCGGAUUGGAUGAAUUGAAAAAGAUCAAAUGAUAGAAAUUAACAAGAGAUGUAGGAGAAGUAAAAAAUGAUGUGUGGAUAACACACCCCUCACUUUUUUACUUGGUCUAUGUUUUAUAUUGUCUUCAGUAGAAAGUUUUGUUGAGAGUUAUAUAUUAGUUAAAGUGUAAAUAGUAGUUCAUUGUUUCACAUUGGUGAAGUACAUAUGUAAUACCAAUUGUAACUCCUAUAUAUACUCCACUUUGGAGAUUAAUGAAUGUAUAAGAAAUUCCCAAAUAUUGUCAUAUAUAUUUUUGGUAUUUACCAUGUUUAGUUUAAUAUUAGUAUUUACCAUGUUUAGUUCAAUAUGGCAUCAAAGCAGUUCGCUCUUGGUGACCUAUGUGCUUUAAUUUUGUGCCCACAUUUUUCGUAAUUUCCUUCGUAAAAAAAAUUUUAAAAAAAAAAAAACAAAGUGAAUAGUGGCGCUACAGUACAGUGCGUGAACAGUUGUCUGCUUUGUGAACAGUGGUCCUCUACAGUGCCGUAAAACAGUGAUUACUACAGUCGUGAAUAGUGCUCUGCUACAGUGUCAUAAACAGUGCUCUGCUAUAGUAUCUGGUAAAUUGUUUUCAUUCCGCUGCAUAUCUUUUGUGCCUUUAUUGUUCGCGAUUUUUGUUCAAUAGCUCAAUAUAAUCAUAGUGUUAUUAUGCAUCUUGGUGGAACAAAUAAAUGGAUAAUAGAUACUGGGGACACUGAUCAUGUGCCUAGUGACCCUAGAGUGUUUGAUGAGUUAUGUGAUUAUGUUCGUGAUUCGUAUGUUACUAGUGCAAAUGGAGCACAUUUCCUUGUGAAGGGUGAAGGCACUAUCUUUCUAACUCCUACCUUAUCAUUGGUCCGUGCUUUACUUGUUCUUGAUCUUAAGUGCAAUCUUUUGUCGGUAGGAAAACUUCUUGAUACCUUAUAUUGUUCUGCUCACUUCUACCCUACGUAUUGCUAUUUUCAAGAUAUUCAAACUCAGAAGAUAAUUGAUCAUGGUAAAAGAAUAGGGGGUUUGUACAUCUUGACUAUGGAGGAUACUGUUGUUUCUGGUUUAAAUAAUCAUCAAGUUUUAAGUGCUAAAGUGGAUGACAGACAUCAAAUUUGGUUGUGGCAUCGACAAUUGGGACAUCCAUCAUUCAGUUAUAUGAAACAUCUAUUUCCUUCUUUGUUUCGCACUUGUAGUGAUUCAGAGUUCAAGUGUGAAACAUGUGUUAUGGCUAAGAGUCAUCGUGCUUCAUUUCCUGUAAGUGAUUCUAAAGCUACUUUGCCAUUUGAUUUGAUACAUUCUGAUGUAUGGGGUCCAGCGAAAGUUACUUCUAAUGGAUUCCGUUAGUUUGUUACUUUUAUUGAUGAUUGUACUAAGUUAACUUGGGUGUUCUUGAUGAAGAAUAAGAGUGAUGUUCCGUUACUUCUUCAAGAAUUUUGUACAAUGGUGUCUACUCAGUUUCAGACCAAAGUUAAGGUCUUCAGGUCUGAUAACGGGGGAGAAUAUGUGAAUCACACUUUGGCAUGUUUUUUUCGUGAUCAUGAUAUUAUUCACCAGGCGACUACUCCGUUUACACCCCAACAAAAUGGUGUGUCUGAAUGAAAGAAUAGUCAAAUAAUGGAAGUUGCUCGCUCAUUGAUGUUGGAUAAAUGUGUUCCUAAUCAUUUGUGGGAUCAUGCUGUUUUGGCUGCUGUGUAUUUGAUCAAUCGUGUUCCAAGUAGGGUUCUUGAUUUUCAGACACGGUUUGAUGUGCUACAACAACAUGUUUCUCUUGUUUCUGUAUCAAAUAUUCAUCCGAAAGUGUUUGGGUGUAUUGCGUAUGCGCAUGUCUACUCUCAUCAGCGGAGUAAACUUGAUGCACGUGCUCUCAUGUGUGUAUUUAUUGGGUAUGCUAACAAUCAGAAAGGCUAUAAGUGUUAUCAUCAUCCGACUUAAAAAACUUAUAUUACUAUGGAUGUCACCUUCCAUGAGGAAGUUUCGUAUUUUAUGAAGCCCUCUUUCGACUCUCCACUUCAGGAGGAGAUGGGGAGUGAAGUGCAGAUUCGAAAAGAUGAUAUGGAUGAUGUGUUACAGGCAGAGUUGGGAACAUAACCUAUUAUGUUGCGUGAUACUAAUCAGUCGACUACAAAUAGUGAUCGGUCACCUAUUAUUCCCUGAACUAUUUCUACUGACGAUAUAUCAGAUGUGCCCAGCGAGUUGCCUGUUAGUAUGUCUGACGAAUUACCUUCUAAUGAUCGGUUGCCUGCUGCUGAUAUGUCUAACAAGUUGCCUGAUAAUGGUUCGUCCAAUGAUGAUUCUUCUAACAGUUUGGUACAAGAUGGUGGCAUACAUGAGGUAAAUUCUGACGAUUCUUCUACUUAUCAGUUGCCUCCACGAGCUAAUCGUGGAAAACCUAAAGUACAAUAUGAGCCUGAUAUGCAUGCCAAAGCCAAAUAUCCUAUCAACAAUUAUGUGUCUACUCAUCGUUUAUCCAAACCAUAUGCAUCUUACAUAUGUCAGCUAUCUAGUGUAUCAAUUCCAACAAAAUUGCAAGAUGCCUUGUCUGACCCUAAGUGGGUUAAUGCCAUGCAAGUUGAGAUGAAAGCUUUGGAAAAGAAUUCUACCUGUGAUUUGGUUCCUUUACCAAACGGAAAAAAAAAGCCGUUGGAUGUAGAUGGGUGUUUACUAUUAAGCACAAAGCAGAUGGUUUUAUUGACCGGUAUAAAGCUAGAUUAGUUGCUAAGGGUUAUACUCAAACCUAUGGGGUGGACUAUCAGGAGACAUUUGCUCAUGUUGCCAAACUUAAUAUUGUGCAUGUUCUUCUGUCCUUAGCAGCAAACCAGGAUUGGCCUCUGUUGCAACUUGAUGUUAAGAAUGUUUUCCUUCAUGGUGAUCUUAAGGAGGAAGUGUAUAUGGAUCUCCCACCUGGUAUUGGAACAUCUCCUGGAAAAGGUGUUGUAUGUAGGUUACGAAAGGCUUUGUAUGGUUUGAAACAAUCUCCUAGAGCGUAGUUUGGGAGGUUUACAAGUUCAAUGAAGAAGUUUGGGUAUAUCCAGAGUCAUUCAGAUCAUACUUUGUUUCUAAAGCGACAAAAUAGUAAGCUAACUGCAUUGAUUAUUUAUGUUGAUGACAUGAUAGUGACUGGUGAUGAUCAGAAUGAGAUACAACGUCUUCAAAAGUACCUAGCUAUUGAGUUUGAGAUGAAAGAAUUGGAUGAAUUGAAGUAUUUUCUUGGAAUCGAGGUUGCACGAUCCAAGCAUGGUAUUUUUCUGUCUCAACGGAAAUAUGUUCUUGAUUUGUUAGCUGAAACAGGUAUGUUAGAUUGCAAACCUGUUGAUACUCCGAUUGAGCAGAAUCAUCGUCUGGGCUUAUUUCCAGAUCAAGUUCCUACUCAUAAGGAACGGUAUCAGAGGCUUGUGGGGAGAUUAAUUUAUUUGUCUCAAACUCGCCCUGACAUUGCUUAUGCAGUUAGUGUGGUAAGUCAGUUUAUGCACUCACCUAGUGAAGCUCAUAUGGAUGCAGUAACCCGUAUUUUGAGGUACUUAAAGAUGGCUCCUAGCAUAGGCCUGUUUUUCUCCAAGAAUGGUCAUUUAAAUGUCGAAGGGUAUACAGAUGCAGAAUGGGCAAGUACUAUCACUGAUCGGCGAUCUACAUCCUGAUACUUUACGUUUGUGGGUGGUAAUUUAGUUACUUGGAGAAGCAAGAAACAAAAAGUGGUGGCUAGGUCAAGUGCAGAAGCUGAGUUUCGUGGUAUGUCGCAUAGUGUAUGUGAGUUGUUGUGGUUAAAAAAAUUGUUGAGAGAUCUUGGGUUUAACCCCAAAGGUGCUUUGAAACUUCAUUGUGAUAACAAGGCUGCUAUUGAGAUUGCUCAUAAUCCAGUGCAACAUGAUCGAACAAAACAUGUGGAGAUUGAUCGACAUUUCAUUAAGGAAAAAUUGGAUGCUGAAAUUAUUAUGUUUCCGUUUGUGAGAUCUGAAGAUCAACUUGCUGAUGCUCUUACUAAGGCUGUGUCUAAUAGUGUGUUUUCCAACUCGCUUGACAAGUUGGGCAUGCGUGACAUCUUUGCACCAACUUGAGGGGGAGUGUUGCGAGUUAUAAUUAGUUAGAGUGUAAAUAGUAGUUUAUUGUCCCACAUUGGUGAAGUACAUAUGUAAUAUCAAUUGUAACUCCUAUAUAUACUCCACUUUGGAGAUUAAUGAAUAUAUAAGAAAUUCCCAAAUAUUGUCAUAUAUAUUUUUGGUAUUUACCAUGUUUAAUUUAAUAUUAGUAUUUAUCAUGUUUAGUUCAAUAAGUUGAAGAACUGAAAAUCGACAUGAUGCACACUAAGUCAAGAUUUCAGUUACUAAGCACAUCAAUGUUGUGCUAGUUUAAAUCGAUACAGAAUCCGACGUGUAUUGUUCAUUUGAAGAUAUUCGAUAAUAUUUGAACGAUAAGAGGGGAAGAGGAGGAGAAUUUCACAAGUCCAAACUUCUGUACCCAAAACUAUACGUAGCGUCUUUGUGCUCUAUCUAUUUGAGUGACAAGUGUUUUUUUACUUAAAUUCAUCCAACACCAUUUAAAAAACAAAAACAAAAAACUAAAUAGUAAAGAAGAAUAAACACAAGAUCCCCCUAAUCCCACCCACCCCAACGCUACCUUGCCAGCAGACUCCCUCUCCUCCUCACCUGUCAUUGUCGGCGAGCAUGUCUGAUAAGUUUCCCAAACCUUUAUGAUGACAUUGAUGACGCUUCUUACAUAGAACCCAGAACUAUUUCCGCCCCAAUUGCAAAAACGCACAACCCAAAAUUAGAAAAAUUGACAUAGUAUUGAAUUUUGAGAGGAUUUUUAAUGAAUAAACCAUGCCCUCUCUCUUUCUUGUCUCUCUCUAACCCACAACUAUUUCCACUUGUUAAUGUUCAAAAUUGUAAGGUUAACAAAUUUAAAUAAAUGAUAUUAGAUGGACUGAUGAGAUGGGUUGAGAUUAAAUGGACUCAAUGAAGUAAGUGGUUUAUCCCUAAAAAAAAUGGGCUACAUCUACUGUGUUGCUCUCAAUAUGAUGAUUUCAAUGCCAUAUAGUGCACAAUUAAUACAUUCAUUCUAUUAUCUCUUAUUUGUCUAACCCCCAUUAUAGAGGUAUUCACCCCUUUAUAUAAGCCUUGUCCCUUUGAGGCCUCUCAAACAGACAUUUAAAGUACCAACCACUUAUACUAGCAUACUAACAGUUUUUCACAUAAUCGAACUGGCCUUUGUCGACGAAAUGAUGUAUUGGCAAUCGGAUAACACACCUUUUAAAGACUAAAUGGCCCACGCUUCUCGCUCGAACCUCGGUUGCUCUGGCUUGCCUUUGUGUCCCAUCGUAGACCUCUGAUGUUUUCUACACUUUGUUGAAAAGUCCAAGUAGCACUUAAUUAAGUAAUCUUAUUCUUGGAGACUUGUGCUAUAAGAUGUCAGCAUGCCCAUGUGUUCUUCUCAGUCAGCAGCCUCUCUCUCGUCUUGGUCAGACUAAGCAUGCGGGCUAGUUCUCUGAGGAUUCCUUGGGCCUCGGGUUUCCUAGCAUUUCCUUGUGCCUAUGUGUUGCCCCUAAAAACUACCAAGCCUACGUGGUACACAUGCCAAGUAAUUAAAAAGCUAACUACGUCAUUCGGUUGUGUAAGGUGUGCCAACUCAACGGUCGACCUUGGUCGGUGAGUAAAAUAAGUUGAUGUUGCAUUAGGCGCACUGCUGACUUCUGAUUCUCGCGACUGCGGCCGAGAAAGGAACACGUCUCGGCCUUCAGGUUCUAGAGCCUGAAGACAAGGCUACUAAUUCUGCGAAGUUCAAUAUCAAAUUCAACUCUCAGGGUGUCGAAUGUAGUAACCUGGUAACACCUCACUUUACAAAAAAGGCUGAUGAGAUGACCUCUGCCAAUAAGGACUCGAAAAUUCUUUUUGACCAAGAUUUGAAUAGGUAACCAGUUGGUCUCGGAGCAGUGCUAUUUAUCCAAACUGAAGAUGUUCACAGGUUGCCUUCACAAUGAUGUUUAUCCAAACUGAAUAUGUGUUGACGAAAAAGGAAAAUAAAAAUCUCAAGGUUGUUGAGAGGUUUCGCAUAGAGCAAAAGUUUGUGCAGGGCAGUUUAUGUGUUGAAUUGGAGAGGCCUUUUUAGUCGUCUGCCGCUCGGUAUUAAUAGAAUCAAAACUCUUAGACGUGUUGUAGAAUCCAACCAGUGAACAUCCAACUAUCUUUGAUGAUAAAUCACAACCAUCCUUUAUCCCAAUCUCAAUUGCCGCAACAUCAAGUAAAAUCACAACUGGACAAAAUGGCAUAUGCCAUCUUUUAUCCCAUAUUUCCACGUGCAUGGGUUCAUAAAAUCAAUAGCACCUUUAUUGGCUAAUUAUCUAAGCAAGUUACCCCGUGCUGGAUAAGUAACCCAAUCUCCUCCACCUCAUUAACCAACCAACGAUGGUCAUCAGAUCAUCUUUAUCUAAACCAACUAACUUUGAUCAAAUUCCAAUGAUAAUACGAUCCCAUAUUUAUCUCCAUUGUAUUUGUAUAAAUGCAUGGAAGAUAGUCUGCCAUACUCUAACUCCAUUCAUGAUAGUCAUGCUAUCUAUCCAUGAGAUUGCAGCAGUAUUAAUUCACACGAUAUCGUAUCAAAUCACCACGACUUUAUCACCUAGUUGUGCUCUAGAUAAUUCAAUAUAUUAUUACGAGAUAAUUAUUAUGAUAAAAUUCACAAAAUUAUUCCUUAACAAUAACUAAAAUUAUUCUGACUCGGUCACCUAAUGGCUUAGAACUUCGUUCACUCAAUAGCCUCGAUCGUUCAGGCCGAUUGUGUAAUUUUGGGUCCAAACACUAUGUCCAUGGGUGGGCCCAAAAUUCCCCUAACUCCUUCGUCAAGGGGUUACUUGUUCACAAAUACGUACCCUCUAGCAAAUCUAAUUUUCAACCAAAAUAAUAUGACACACCCCAAACCCGAUAUCCCCACAUACUAGGGUAAGCAUGUGUUGGCCGACACCUGAGGGUGACGAAGCCAUUUUUAACAUGCAUACCAAUAAAAUAUGAAAUUAAAACAAAUUAAACCAAAGCAGAAUCGUGUUCAAAGCAUACAACUACUUAAGAAUAAUGUGAAAGAAUUAUAAUAGAAGGUACGAAUAAAGGAAUGAGUCAUACACUGAGAAAACUCGAAGAUGCCUAAGCGAAAGUGCCUGAUGCCGGGAUCAUGUGCCUCGAUCCUAACUCCUGAAGGGCGCAAAAACAGAAAAGAUGAGUGGACCAUAAUUUAUAUUAAUACUAAUAGUAAGAAAAUUGUUUUAUUUAUGAACGUAAUAACCUCCUGUUUUGAAAACACAUAUAUAAUACUACAUAUAUAUUUUAUGGAAAAACCCUAGCAUGCCAUGUAGAACAUUCGUAAAACAUGUAUGUAAAACCAGUGCUAAAAAAUGGUAAUCACGCCCGAAGGCAAUUCUGUAAAUCAUCUGUAAAUCUCGUCAGUGAAGUACUCAACUAGGGGUAUCAUAGUCACCCCAAGGCAGUACAUGUCCAUCACCCGAAGGUGAAGCUGAAUAACAUGUCCAUCACCCGAAAGUGAAGCUAUAUAACCUGUCCAUCAUGACACGCCCCGACCCUGAUAUUCCCCGAAUACCAGAAUAGACACGUGCUGGCCGACACCCGAGGGUGACGAAAGCCAUUAAUUGAUACAAAAGCUAAGAAUAAGAAAUAAAUAAGGGUUAUGAAUUUAAAAUACCAAGAAUUUAUAAUUUAGGAACGUGCUCAGAGCAUACAAUUAAACCUAAUCACUAAAAGGAAUUAAGAUAAAAUUUAAUGAAUAAAGGAGUGAGUCCUACAUUCGAGAGGAUCCGAAUAUGCUGCUGCAGAAGUGUUUUGACGCCGGGAUUAGGUGCCUUGAUUCUAAGUCCUGAAUGGGGGCGCAAAACAAAGGUGAGUGGACCAAGUUUAUAUAUAUAUAUAAUAAUAAUAAAACAAUUAUCAAGAUACUAACCCCCAAAGUUUAUAUAAAUGAAAACUACUAGCAUAAUAAGUGAUGAAUUUAAUAAAAAUCCUAGCAUGCCAAAGUAUCUCAAAAAGCCAUAUCGCGGAAAAUCAAAACAGUAAACGUCUCGUAAAUCGUCUCGUAAACGCGGUGUGCUGCUAGAAAGAUCACUGAAUAAAUAUAACUCCCGGCCCAAUGCCUGCACCUCAGUCUCUGUGCCCGUAGCCAGAGAUAACUCCCUCCCGGCCCAAUGCCUGUCUCCGUGUCCCUCAGCCUUUCGCUAGGGAUUAUUUCUCCCGGCCUACAUGCCAACACCAGAUCCUCUCCCCAGGCGGCAUAGUGUCCACUAGGUACGCACAAAUAGUUACGUCUCUCUUAAAUAACCACUUCAUAGCAUAGGUUACCGAAUAUCGUCUACGCUAUAAAGAGGGGUUCAAAAACAUGUUCUAGCAUCCUAUCGUCAUCUGUCAGAUAGUCUACCAGUUCAUGAUUUUUAUAGAAAAUACGAUAUAUAAAAAUAUAGCUCAAAAUAGGCUAACAAUUAAUUCCUCACCAAAACACGAGACGAUAAUCAAUAUAUUAAAACAACAGGCUCCACAUAAAUCAGAUCAUAAAUUCGUAGGCAUGCUAAUCAAUUAUGCAAUUAAACUAUGAAAUCAUGUAAUUUUAGAAGGGGUCCACUCACAAAUAUUCCUUAGCAGAAGAGUCGCGCGAAUAAGGAUUUAGAAUUUCUCCACUAGCAAUUUUACCUAAGAACAAGAAUGUAUAAUUAAUAAAAUGAUUUUUCUAAAAGAUUGGUUUUGAAUUAAUUUAAAUAAGGGAUUUGGGAUUGGAUGGGUUUAGGGUUUUUAAUGGGUUUUGGGAACCUAGGGCUCUAGAAUUAAAAGGGGAUGGAAAGGGGUUUGGGCAUUAAGCCCAAACAUAUAAACUUAGCCACACACGCACACGGGCACAAGGCCCUCAGGCCUCACUACAGAAAACAGGGCUUUAAGCCCUUGAUUAAAAACCGGCCCAAGGCCAAAACAAAAGCUAGGGCCCGAGCCCUUUGGGCUUUAAAAAAUUUAAAUAAUUAAAAAUAAAAAUGGAAUGGGUUAGGGUACUGGGCUAAGGCAAAACGGGCUGGAGGCCCAUGGGAAAGGAAAUGGGAAAGGCCGGUUGGCCUGUGGCUUGCCGAGAGAGAAGGCCGGAGCUGCUACAGCUCCGGUCACCUGAAAACUGGAGCUUCAAGCUCCGAUCUAGGUACGAACGUGAAGCACAAGGAGAGAGGAAGAGAUUUAUACCUUCCAAAUGUCGUAACUCGGUCGGAGGUGACCGGGAAAGUCCUCGGGGUGCACGGGUUCACCGGAAAAGUGGGUGUGCUCACCCACGACCGUUCCGAAGCAAAAACCUACGUAAAAAGGUAAGGUUCAAGCUUCUAAAUCACAACCAAACCAAGAACUAGGUACGAGAGUAAGAGAUUUGAGACCUACCCGACGGAAAAAUGGGGAAAACUCGCCGGAGCUUUGCUCCGUGCCGUUGAGCCGCAGUGCAGGGAUCCCUGGUUCGUUGCGAGCCUCUCUUCGAUGGUGACUCGGUCCUAGUGAGUCCAGGGGAAGAGAGAGAUGCGAGAGGUUGAGGGAGAGAGGUACGGGAUAGCUGAGAGGGAGAGAGCUAAGGGAGAGUUACGGGGGAGAGAGACGAAGAAGGAAGAGAGAGACCGGGGGAAAACAAAAAAAUUAUAAGGUGGGCCCUACGGGCUCACCAAUUAAGACCUUAAAACAAUUUUUAAAUAAAAUGGGGUUGGGGUGUUUCACAUCACCCGAAGGUAAAGCUAUAUAAAAUAGCAUACAUCCACACUGACACUAGCCGUGGCUAGUGAAGUUAUCCAACACUGUUUAUGGCAGUGAAAAUGGAGGUAUAUAAUAUAUCAUAUCUCACUCCUCCAUUAUCUGUGUCCUAUGGCCAAAGACAUAUAUACACGUGGUGUGCAAAUGUACCGUAUGAUAACCCACUAGGUUAGUACCAAAAACAUAUCUUAAAAUCUCAUAUCAAAACCAGAGCUCAUCAAAACUCAAAGCGUCAUCUCAUGAAUCCAUAAUAUAAAUCAUGAUCAAAAGCCACAUAAUUUGUAUAUGUAAAUCCAUAAUUCAUCACCUUUAGUGAAAUGUAGGUUUGAUAAAUAAUAACCUUCGUAAAAAUAAUUCAAAUAAUUCAAAUAAUUCUUAAUUUCUCUUAAACCAUAAAUAUAGAAAUCUAUAAAGGCAUAAUAUAAAUCCAUAAUAUAAAUCACAUUCAAAUCGUGAAAUAGAUCGUGCAUGCUAGGCUAAUAUUUAUAAAACAUAUAGUUUAAGAAGGGGUCCACUCACAAAUUUUAUUGCCUGAGAACCGCUCGAACUAGUGAGGAUGACGUCGUUUCCUGCCAACGCGCAUAAACACAAUUAGGGACCUUUUAGUAAAACUAUACCUAAACGAUAGAAUUUGGGAAUGGACGGUGGAUUUGGAUUCAGCACGUCGGAAAACCUAAGGAGGGACCUCUGGUUUUUCCCCCACGUGCUGCCGCACGUGGCAGCCGGCCACCCCGACUCGUCGGAAAAUCGAACAACUCCAAAAAUUUUCAAAUUUUACAAGAAUGAAGAUCUCAAUGAGAAGAAUAACUUUUGUACCUGGGCCGAGUCCAAUUCGGCCAAGAAACACCCCCAAUCACCCUCGAAUCGUCGGAAACCCUAAAAUAGGUGAACCCCGAUUCGUCGAAUUCGUAGCUCCACCGCCCCCAAACUUGUUUGGGCUUUGAUCCAGACCUCGAAGGGAGUUGAACAAGGGUAGUGGUCGAUGGCGGUGCUUGCAAAAACGAUAGAUUUUUGCCGAUCUUCCCAUGGUGCCGCCGGUGGUACCCUCACGAAACCAAGGUUAAAAAUUAGAUUUAGGGUGGAACUUGAAGAAGAAGGUCGUGGAGUUGGUUCUAGGUGGUUAAGUGAAGUGAUUUGCUGAAAAAACAAACGAAAAACCGUCGGAUUCCAUAGUUACCGUUCGGGUCGAGUUGAAAAAUGAGAAACGGGUCGUGGAUCCUGUGGUUCUCAUCUCCCUCAUUUCCCCUUCCUUCUUUCUUCUCCCAUUGGUCAUCAUCCAUCCCCUCUACCCUGGAUUGGUCCUCAUCCCCUUCUUUCACUCAUAUUUCUUUCCAUCUCAACCGUAUUUCUCCCUCAUUUCUCUUCUUUCUUUUCCAUCACAGCCACACAUGUGGCAUCAGAUUGGUGUUCCAACAAAAUUUGGAGCCUUCCAAAUAUAUCGUCAAAUGACCAUUUUGCCCUCAACUUUGUUCGUUCAUAACUUAUUCGUUAUAACUCCAAAAUACGUUCGUGUUCGUAGCGACAAAUACUACGAGUAUACACCAAGAAAAUGGAUCUUACGUGACAUGAUAAGGCGGUCAACAAAAGUUAACGUAUUAGCCUCGAAUGGCAUUUUCGUAAAUUUCGUAAAUUUUCAUAAAUUUACAUUUUAAAAUGAAGGUUUCCACUUUCCAAGAGGUCAAAGGCAGUAAUAGGACCGGACUCCACCUUGGAUUAUGUGAGAAACAUGGGGUGGUGGGUUACAUAGAGUAAUUAAUUGGUUUUCAACCACCCACCGCUGAGUUGUCUAUUUUUUAUUUACUUAUCUACUUAAAAUAAUGUUUUAUGAGGAUAUAUAAAUAAUGUUUUGUUGUCUUCUAUUUUAAAUUACCAUAUUAUCUACUUAAAAUACUCACAUAUAUAUGUAUGUUCUUCUUUUAAAAAAAAACAUAAUACUCAAUAAUUAUAUAUUAAAUUUAAUUAACCUACUUUAAAAGAAUGAUAAAUUACCAUAUUAUCUACUUAUCCCCUUAAUUAACCUUAAUAAUUAUAUAUUAAAUUUAAUUAUCCUAUCUACAUUACUAUAUUUCCUUAUUUUCCUCCUAUUUUGCAUUUUAUAUGGUUUUAAAUUGUCAACUUAUUGUACAUGUGUCAUCCGACAAUACUCCUCACUAUGGUUAUAUGACAGACAUGCUUAAUUUGUUUAUAAAAUUUGGACUUGUUGGAUACUCUUUUUGCAUUUUAUCAUUCUUUUAUUAUCUUAUCCAUGGAUUUCAUACAAGUAUAAUUUUUUGUAAGUAUCAAUAUGCACUUAUUUACAAGAUAUACAAGAAAUUUACUUAAAUCCUCCUAGGCCGCCUAGGCGCUAGGCGCCAACCCGCCGUUCGACUAGCGCCUAAUGUUUUUUAGAACCUUGGUAAAAGAGUAACAGAGACCAAAAAAAACCACACAUAAAAUGAAUGCAGAGGAUUUAAUCACAUACGUAGACAAAGAGUGGGGCUAGCUGUGACUAUUUGUUUUGGUAGUGUAUAGUGUGUAUAGCAGCUGAUGAAAUAGACAGCUCAUAUUAGUGAACUUAAGUCCCUCAUGAUUCCUUGAAUAUCACGCAACUGCGAACACAAGACUUAUCUGCAUUUAUUGAGGUCAGAAAUGGGGAAGUGUAUAUAUAUUCUCCCGCAUAGGAUCGAUGGAUUACAAGUUUACAAAAAACACCAUGUAGAGCACAAGAAUGUAAAUUUAUCUGCCCAAAAUAAAUUGAUCGAGUGUUAAAACACGUCUAUUAAGUUAUUAGUUGGCAAUGCUCACAGUUUGUAAUGAAGAGUUGGUCAUCUGGAGCUUCCAUUAUCAGUUAAAAAAAACUCUAUGUUGAAAAUGAUGAUCCAAAUUAAUUUUUAGGCAUGCAUUAGGCACACAUGCCAGCUGAAUUGAUCAGUACAGGGCCAUUUUCUGAAAAUCUCGACAUCAAGGUUACUUGUUCACACAUACGUAAGGAAGUAAGAUUUUUAGAGAAGAAAAAAUGUUACCACAAGAUUUUGAGAUUUGAUAUGUUGAACUAUGUAUUACAACGAAAAACUUAUAAUACAAACGUUGCAAAUUACAUAACGUAAAAAUAAGCGAGGAGAAUAUAAAAGCCCCCCCCCCAACCCAAUUAAAUUUUAUCAAUAAAACGCCCUAAUGAAGAGUAAGAAGAACCACCAUCCACCAAGGCUUUCUUGCUCUUUUCACUCAUCUCCUUCACUCUUUUCCUUACAUCACUGUCAAGCUCCAUCACUCGCCUUAUCCCUCUUUCUAUGUCUUCUGCGCUCACCACCACGUCGCUGUCCCUCCGAUAAUCCAUCUUAAUCUCCACUGCCAAUCCCAACUCCACCACCAAUUGAAAGGCAUUCAGGUUUUGCUCCGCGUACAAUGGCCAUGCGGCAAUCGGCACGCCAUUCCAUAAACUUUCCAACGUAGAAUUCCACCCGCAAUGUGAUACAAACCCUCCGGUUGCCGGAUGGCCUAGGAUGGCCGCUUGCGGGGCCCAACCAAUCACCUUCCCAACCGUAGCCGUCCGAUCAAGAAACCCUUCGGGCAAGACUGUCUUUAGAUCCUCGUAGUCGCUUGGCAUAGCUCUCUUGCCUUGAGGUGGGGGCCGGCGAAGGGACCACAAAAACCGAUGUCCGCUGUGCUCUAGCGCGCACGCUAUCUCUUUCACCUGGGCCUCACCGAAACUUCCCAUGCUUCCAAAACACAGGAACACGACCGAGAAAGGAGGCUGAUCAUCAAGCCACCUCAAGAUAUCCGAGGCCUUAUCUUCAUCACUACUUUUGAGGUUCAAUAAGGGUCCCACUGGAUACACGGGUGGGAUUUUAUCACCAGAAUCAAGAUAAUGAAGAGCAUGCGAUUCUAGCUCCAUGAAUGUAUUUACCAAAAUGCCCUUGGUUUGUUUAUACUUGCUGACGUGGUUGAGGGUUGAUUUGGUGCUCUCCAUGUCCAGAAGCGAACCAGGCAAGACUGCGGCAGGGUAAGGGUUGAUGAAACUCGGGACGGCCAACUCAGCGGUUGAGCUCGUCAACUCAGUUAUAUCUAUGCCCCCCCUCGUCACGAAGCGAUUGAAAAUGGGACAUAAGUGCAAGAGCCGAAGCGUUGGAGGUGAAGAACAGGUAGGAGGGAACCUUAAAUUCGUUGGCCACGUCAAUUAGGCUUGCGGAAAACAUGUCGAGCACGAACCCGGCAAGCCGAGGCUUCGACGUCGACUCAGACUGAUCUGACUCGGGGAGUACGUUGAUAACGGCGUCUCUGACGUGAGAUUUGUGAUUUUCGACGAACAUUCUGAAGAAGGACCCGGGAUUGGGGACAAUGUCUUGUUUGUCCGGUUGGGCUUCGGGGAGGUUGACGAAGUUGAUGCGGUGAGAGAUUGAAGAAUCAGUGUUGGUGAAUGGUUGGGCGUAGGGAAGCUUCAUGACGAGGACUGUGAUAAACAGUUGGUCGUCCCGAGCAGCGAGUUGCUUUGCCAUCUCGACCGUUGAUACGAUGUGGCCGAUGCCUGGGGCGGGAACGAACACUAGUUGUGCUGGUCUCUUCAUCUUUUGAGAAAUGGCAAUGAAAAUCUGAGCUGUUUUAUUUAGAAAAACUCUUUCAUUUUUAUACGGUGAUACGGUGUGAUGUCAUGCCUUCGCUCAUAGUUUCUGAAUUUCAAGUCAAGAUCUUAAUUACUUUCAGUACUGGAAGGACUUGGGCAUCAAGCUUGUCUGCUUGAGGAUAAAACUAAAGGUUAUCAAAUUUGAUUUGUCAACUACUGGUGUAACAUGUGUGACACGAUUGUUUCGGAAAUAUAAAACAAAAGGAUAUUUUAAAAUACAUUUAACCAACUGCUGAAAUCAAAUAGAAUCAAAUUUAAUGGUAAAAAAAAAAUCUCACGGUCCAAAUUUAAAUUUAACAGCUAAAAUAAUUUAAAAAAUAGGCAUUUUGAUUCAAGUCCAAAAUAUUCAGCUAUUUUCAAAUCUAGUCCAGUUUUAUUUAAUUUGUUAUUAUACCUGUUUUGCCCCUUAGAGUAAAAAUAAAAAUAGAUUUAAAUUUCUUAAAUUUUAAAUUUUAAAUGCCUUUAUCUACCCACUUUCUAAUUGAAACAUUUUAAAAAUUCAUAUACAACAAAUAUGAUAAGUUUAUUAAAAAUUAAAAAUUUGGAGAGGUAAGAAACCUGUGAAAUCAAUAUAAUUAAUCUAUAAUAUAGGUAUAUUAUAAAGAAGAAAAACAUGUGAGGUAGAUUAUGAACAAAAACCUAUGAUAUAGGUCUACAAAAGUAUUGUCUACCUCAAUAUAUACCUAUUAUAUAGGAAGACAUAUACUUUAUACCUAGAAAGCAGAUAUACUCUACAAACUAUGAGCAAAAACCUAUGGUAAAAGUUGAUAAACAUUUAAUUUGAGAUAAGUUAUAAAAAAUAUAAAAAAACAUGUGAUAUAUAUUGUGAAAUCCCGUUUCUGGAUAUCAUUGUUAUAAUCCACAUAUUCGUAUUAUUGAGACUUUAUAUUAUUUUACAAGAAAUUAUAUUAAUUUAUUUGAAUUUAGAUUUUAAAUUAAACUAGUUACGAAGUUGAAGUUUGGAAAUUAAUUAUCUAAAAUUCGUAGACCUUUCUAGGUCACAAUUUAUAUUUUUGGAUAGAUCUCGAAACCACGAACGCAUAGGCGAAAGCCGUUUGCGAGUCCGGAUUAUAAUGGUAAAGUUGCGGACAUCUAAAGUUGUGUUUCUAGACUAUAGAUUUUAAUUUUCUUUAAAACUCCCCGUGGAAAUGGUGACCAAGGAAAAAAAGGGAGGACCAACCCAAUUCAUGGGGGAGUUUAAGGGAAUCAAUCAGGAAAAAGAAAAGAAAAAAAAAAAGAGGGGAGUUGCGGGAGAGACGGGAAAAAAAAAAGGGGGGAGAGACCAACUGGAGGAGGGGAGAGGAAAGGGAAGAAAAUGAGUGACCAAUGGGGGAAGCAGAAGGAGGGAAAGGAAAGAGGGGAGGAAACACACAACCCGGACCCCCUUCCCCUUGACCCGACUUUCCUCGACCUGACCCGCACUACAACAAAUUCAGACGGGUUUCCCGUCCAUUUUUCCGGCGAUUGACAACCUUCCACCCCUACCAAACAACUCCCCAGCCCUCCCUCUUCCAUUUCCACCCGAAAUUAGAAGGAAUUUGGUUUUGUUUUGGUGGAAAACAACGCGACGAGAUUUAUGGGUGUUGGCGGCAAUUCCACCGUUUUUGUAGAUAUCGCCGAUGACCACCACCCUUGUCCAACUCCUCUUGAGGCCUGGAUAAAAGCCCAAACCAGUUUGGGGGCGGCGGAGCUACGAUUUUGACAAAUUGGAGAACACCCAAUUCUAGGGCUCCGACGGGUUUAUGGCAAUUGGAGGCUUUUUCCGGCCAAAAUGGACUUGGCCACAAGUAUAAAACUUGCUUUACUCAUUGAGAGCUUCAUUUCUGUAAAAUUUGGUAAUUUUUAAAAAUAGUUGAAUUUUUCCGACAAGUCGGGGCUGCGGGUGUAGUGGCGGCCUGGCCAAUGGGUCGAAGACGUCCUUUUAAGUUCAAAUAAAUGCCUUGGUUUCAUAAUUAAUAUUUGUAUGACGUAAUUUGAUUGUUUGGACUUAGUUCAUUACGAUACCUUACUUGGUCAAAAUAUAAAUCAACGAUCCGACCAUUGGAUCGUCACCAAACCUUAAUGCGUGAUAGAACAUAAUAUUUGUGCAUCAUAGAAACUUACGGAUCGGGAAUCCGACGUAUGAAUCUUCCCUAAUUGGAUUUCUAAGUUGGUAAAAUAAAUUGUUGACCGCCACUUAAUUCUAGUAAUUGGUGGAGAUCCGAUCGUCGGAUCGCGAUGGGAAUUUAGUAUGUUGUUCUAGAAGCAUAAUGUGGACUUUGGGAAGUUAUGGAUCAGAAAUCCGAUGUGUGGAUCUUUAGGAUCAAAUUACGUAGAGUUGUGGACCCUAUCGUUGACCAAGAGUUGAUUUGUGGUCAACACGUCUCGAAACGUUUUAAAUAACAAAAUUAGUACUUCGGAACUAAUUCAAGUCUAGUGGGCCUAUAUUGGUGAGAUAGUGACUUGAAUGCAUGAGAUAUAAUUAUUAUCUUAAUUUCUUAUAUUAGUAUCAUUUGUGAAUAUGAAUUGGUCUUAUAAAUAUGAUUUCUAUUGAAAUGUGAACUUUAUAUAUUUAGCCAUAGACCUAUGCUAAUUAAAUAUGUUUUGGCUUGUGUAUUGAUGAUGUUUGUGGUAUCUAUGUGUUUAAUUAACUUUUUAAUAAUGGGAAUGACAAUUAUGGGAUCUAAAUAUUGUUUGAUAAUUAAUUGGGUAUGAUUGCCAAAUGAAUACCUAUUCGAACUUGGCAUUAUUACCUAGCAUGAGAUGGAGAUGAAAUUCAGGAAAUGAGUUAGGUACUUUAUUAGAUUUUUAGUAGAAAUAGUAAUUGAGGGAAUUCCCUGUGUUGUGCUCCAUAUGACUAGAUGAUGGUUGAUAUGUGGAAUCGAUAGCAUGUAUGUGUAUAACUAUGUAUAACUUUUAUGCUUGUAUGAUAAGAUAGUUAGUGGUCAUGAGAAGUUGAUAGUGCAAGUGAUUCCGUUGAGUGAUGGUUCGGAAUCAUAUCCUUGUUUGGAUUCCGUUGAGUGGUCCAAAGUCGCAUCACUUUACUUGUUGGUUUCUUAGAUUUGAUAUCAGCUACAGAGAUGUAAGCUUGGCUUAACUGUGUCACUCUAGCCUUAGUUUUAGUAUAUUUGUGAGCAAUGGUUUUGAGAAUCUUGUGGAUUGAAUUAGAAAAGCUGUUGAACGUUUGGGUGACUCCUUCAAGAUUUUCUAUGAUUUCUUAAAGUAUGAAUUUAGAAGAUAUGGUUAUAGUUGUUAUUAUUCUGGUCAAAUUAGUUAAUUAGUAUGGAUAGAGAAUUGUAUUGUGCUUCGUCGGUUCUUUGAUAUGAUAUAUGUUGUGAAUUGCGGUAUCAUGUUGCGACAUAAUGACUUAUAUAGAAGAUGGAAGGGAAAUCAUGAUUUUCAGGUGGGUUUGUUAUGUAACCCUGAGUCUAGUAAUUUCAUGGUUGUCAAGUUAUAUUGAUUGAUUGAGAAAUGUUAUGCCUUUCGGCUUAAACGGACUGUGUUAUAUGUCAAUUGUAGUGCACGAUGAACUACGAAUGGCUUGAUCCCUAGGUAGGGUACGUAGGCAGUCUAACGAGAAGCUUACAUGCAGCCAUAAAGUGCACAAAUUUUACUACGCAAUUCGAGGCAUGUGCUUGCUAUAUAUCUCGGAGACGAGUAUGUUAGAUAUAUGGUUAUUUGAUGACGUCACGUGUCAAUCAUGGACGUACGUCAGGAUCGGGACGUGACAUAUAUAGUUAGAUAAAAUACUAUUAAUCUAUAAUACUAUUAAUAUAUGUACAGGGUAGAUUGAUAAAAUAAAAAAUUCAAGUAGAUAAACACCAACGAAACCAAAUGUGGUAUCUGGAUGACUUUCCCACAUCAUACCUUGCAUAUGAGCCACAAUGUUUAGUUCACUUUGGUACCGUUUGGUACGCAGACGGGACAGGACAAGACGGAAUGAAACAAAGGUUCCAUGUUAUGUUUGGUACGCGCAGGAUGGAACGAGAAGAUUGUUCCGUUCUGCGUUUGGUACUCGUUGGACGGAACGGAACCAAAAGAUUAAAUGACUAACUUACCCUUGUUCCAUAUGUUGUUUGGUACAAUGUUUAUGCGUGGGACGGGACGGGACAAUUUUAUUUUAUUUUAUUUUUGAACUUGUUCAUAUUUGAACACAUAUAUGCUCAUCUAUGAUACAUUUUUUACACUAGCACAUGGCUAAAGAUAUAUUAUGCCAUGACCACCGGUCUGCAAGCAUCUCUGGUCCUCGCUGACAUUGCGAAUUCAAAAAUAAGCAAAGAAUAAACAUUGUAUAACUGGAGCAGACAUUCGGUAGGGAUUCAGAUAAACUUGAUCCAUAUUAAAGACGUCUUAGUUGCAUUCAAAUUAUUUGCCCAAUAGCAGAACAGUUUUACACGUUCUCCUUAAUCUAAAUAUAUAAGCACAUAACAAAUUUAAACAGUAGGGCAUUGACAAAGAUCGACUCCAUGCUGUGGAACUUAAAUCCACUAGGAUAAAUCAUGAACAAAAUUAACACGACCAUAGGUCAAACAAUACAUCAGUCGUGCAGUGUUCCCAGUAUAUCCUCAUCUCGAUAUAGAUGGUACCUAAAACAGCAAAAAAUAAAUAAAAAAUAAUGAGCAUCUAAUCGGACAAAGGAAGUGAAUGUCGAAAGAAAUAAUACAGAAGUAAAUGUUCUCAAAACUGCAUCUAUUUCUCAAUCCUGACUAGUUUCACAAGUUCUUGUAACAUACGUAACAUAGUAUGCAUUCUCAAAUGUUGUUCAGUGUCACACACAGAAAUCCAAAAACACAUGCUAACUAAAGCACACCUCUGCUUUACUGCAAAGAUGCCUACUUGAGUCAAUUCGCCAAAUUGUAAUCCUAGUAAUAAUACACAUACAAUGGAUAAAAGCACACCUGUUUACAGAGAGCGAUAAAAAUAAGACACAUACAUACAAACCCCAUGGACAGUCAUUCGUGUAAGAGAAACAAGUAACAUUUCACUAUGUAUUGUAUCCAUAUGUUGGUUUAUCUGAAUGUCGCAAAUUUGCAAGAUCCAUGUGUUGUAUCUCACUGGACAAAAUAGAUAACAUUUCACUAUGUAUUAUCCAAGUACUACAAGGUGACAAAAUAGAAGCUGAGAAUCACUUGAAUGAACUUACUAAUGUGAUCAGUUGUCCUUUCUUCUUGUCUGUCUGCCUUUGAGCUUUUAUUCAGUUGAUAAGAUUCUUCAACAAAGUAGAGGGUAUGCACCAAAACCUAACAAAGUUAGACCUUAAUUAUUAGAUACAUACGAACAAGCAUCAACUGUAUACUCAACCUAUAAAAGAAAGGGCAAUCGAAAUAAAGAAAACACUAGAGCAGAAAAUUCCACCUUCCACAAUUGCUAAAUUAAUGUAUGAGUAAUUACAGCAAUAUUGGCUUCUAAUCAAUGUGACAUAAACCUCAAAACUAGCUAGAAGACUGAAUCGCAUUCAUAAUUCCACCAAUAUACGACAUUCAGAUCAACCAGCACAUGGAUAUGGCAUAAAUUUACUUGACCAAAACCCUACAGAAUGAGAUUACUUUACACUGGUGAGGGUAGCAUCUGGAAGUGAAAAUGAUAACCAAACUGUUGCAAAUCUGCAAGAGCACAUAUUUUCUAUUUCUACAGAAAAUUUAUCAACAUUAUUAGUUCUUUUCACCAUUUAAUUUCCAUAACUUUCGUGCUACUAAACACAAAAUAAACAUGACAGAAAAAACAUACAGAUUAAGAAGCAAACUUACUCGAAUUGAUAGGCAUAAUCGACGAGGUCGAUGUUGGGAAUAACAACAGGGCCUCUCGAAGGACAUGCACGAAACGAUUUUCUCAGAGGAAGACGAUUGUUCUCUGCAGGAUCAAACAUUCUCCUAAAACAAUAUGACUGAUUUGUGGAUCAAAUUAAAACCCAGAAAUCCCAGAAAUAAAUCAGAAUGCAGAAAUCCCAGAAGUAAAUCAAAACCCAUAAUCGAUUAAACCCAGAAAUCGAUAAAAACCAGAAAACGUUCAAAACCCACUAAUAAUUUCACAAAUCUUCAAAACAAAAUCGAAGAAAAUGAAGAAGAGGAAGUGGAAGAGGAAGCCCUGAGAGCUACAAAAAAACAGAUUGAACCUGGAACGGAGAUGCAGAUCUGAAGAUGCUACACGGAAGAGGAUGAGGAGGAAGGUUCGCAGAGCUGCUACACGGAAGAGUUGCGAAGGGGAAAUGCAGAGCUGCUACACGGAAGAGGAUGAGGAGAAAGGUUGCGAAGGGGAGAUGCAAGGGUGAAGAGGCUACACGGAAGAAGAUGAGGAGUAAGGUUACGAAGGGGAGAUGCAGAGGUGAAGAGGGUCAGCGGCUGAGAAGAAGAAAAGAUAGUUUUUAGGGUUUGUUGUAUGAUUUUGAUGAUGUAAAUUUUGAAAAAGACAAGGAGCAUUUUUGUCUUAAAAUGUUAAAAUUUUCUGUCCCGCGGACGUGGAACAACUCGUUCAGAGGGGAGGUGGAACAUAAAAUCAUUCAAAACUUGUCCCGUGAAACAGCCCGUUUCACUCGUUUUAGGUGCACCAAACGUGGAACGGAACGCAUCGUCCCGUUCCGUUCCGUCCCGUCCCACGUACCAAACGCGACCUUUAAGCAUGAUUAAAACGGACACGAGAAUUAAAUGCAAAAAGUGUCAUGCAUCAUUCAAAACAACACCCAAGUAGAAGAAUCAUCAUCCUGUUGUUGUAGAGCAACAAGUACCAUGAUAGUAUGUUUGAGUUUCUCUCAGAAAAGUUGUAGCGCAACCACCUUCAACUCAUGGUGGAGCAACAAUGCAGUCUUCCAUGUUGCAACAACUUUAGCAUAAAGGGGGAGGAUACUCCACCUGAUGCCCAACAGCAGACGCAAUAGACAUCCCCUUCUCAUCCCUCAUAUAUAAUCACCCCAAAAUCACCCAACCAAUAAUUCUUACGAGAAAGUUUAAGUUAUUAACAGAUUAGUUCAAAUCCUAUAAUUAAGGAAUAUGUUCAAUUACUAAUCCUAAAACUAAAGGAUUAGGUGCAUUUACAUAUUUAUAAUAAUUUAUAAUCUUAGGGGUAUAUUGGUGUGAAAAAAGUAAAUAUGUUGAUGUGAAAUCCUAGUCAUCAAACCUAUUUCACAUGACACGCUCCGACCCUGAUAUUCCCCGAAUACCAGGAUAGACACAUGUUGGCCGACACCCGAGGGUGACGAAAGCCAUUAAUUGAUACAAAAGCUAAGAAUAAGAAAUAAAUUAAAAAUUUAGGAACGUGCUCAGAACAUACAACUAACUAAAGUUCUAAAAGAAUUAAUAUAAAAUUUAAUAAAUAACGGAUGUGGUCCUACACCGAGAGGACUCGAAUAUGCCAAAGUGAAGACGUUGACGUCGUGAUCGUAUGCCUCGAUUCUAAAUCCUGAAAGGGGGCGCAAAACAAGGGUGAGUGGACCAAGUUCAUAUAUAUAUAUAUAUAUAUAUAUAUAUAUAUAUAUAUAUAUAUAUAUAUAUAAUCCGAAAACAGUUAUGAACAUACUAACCCCCAAGUUUAUAUAUAAUGAAAACUACUAGCAUAAUAAGUGAUGGAUUUAAAUAAAAAUCCUAGCAUGCCAAAAGUAUCUCAAAAAUCAUAUUACGGAAUAACAUCGCGGAAAUCAAAACAGUAAACAUCUCAUAGAUCAUCUCGUAAGCCCGGUGUGCUGCUAGAAAAAUCACUGAAUAAAUAUAACUCCCGGCCCAAUGCCUGUUUUGUGGUCUCUGCGCCCGUAGCCAGAGAUUACCAACUCCCAGCCCAAUGCCUGCUUCGUGUCCCUCAGCCCGUAGCUAGGGAUUAUUUCUCCCGGCCUAUCUGCCAACACUAGAUCCUCGCCCCAGGCGGCAUAGUGUCUACUAGGUACGCACAAAUAGUUACGCCUCUCAUAAAUAACCAUUUCAUAGCAUAAAGUCAUCCAUCGUCUAUACUAUAAAGAGAGGUUUCUAAAACAUGUCCUAGCAUCCUAUCGUCAUCCAUCGGAUAGUCUACCAGUUCAUGGUUUUUAUAGAAAAUACGAUAUAUUAAAAUAUAGCUCAAUAUAGGCCAACAAUUUAUUCCUCACCAAAAACACGAGACGAAAAUCAACAUAUUCAAUAAACAUGCUUAACAUAAAAUCAGAACAUAAACUCGUAAGGCAUGCUAUUCAUUUAUGCAAUUGAACUAUAAAAUCAUGUAAUUUUAGAAGGGGUCCACUCACAGUACUUCGCCGUCGAAAAGUCACGCAACUAGCAAAGACAGAAAUGCCACUAUAAUUGCCCCUAAGCACAUAAAGAGUCUAAUAAAUAAAACUAUAUAAUAGCAAUUGAAUUUGGGAAAACGGACAUUGGAAACGGAUUCAGAACAUCGAAUUACCAUAUAAGAAGGGUCCUGGUUAAAAAAAAGACUCGAAGGCCUUAAGCCUAAGGAUUUUGGGUUUCUAGAUAAAAAGGAUUGGGUUAAAAAAGGUUAGGACCUAUUAAGUUUUGGGUUUGGAUAUGUUAGGUACAAAAGGGGUGGUUUGGGCUUAAGCCCAAAUCCACACACACACGGCACACAACAUACACACACACACACACAUACUACACAAACACACACACACACACACACACUCACAGCCCAAAGGCCUCACAACCAAAAGGGUUGGGCUCGGCAGGGAAGGCCCAAAGGCCUUGGGUUUCGUGGGUCGCCGGACCCAAUGGGAGAGAAAGCCAGAAAUCGGCCUGAAACUGCACAACCUUUAAACGGCCAUAACUUUGUCACAACUCAACGAAAUCAAGUGAAACAAGAACGAAAGUUGUAGUUAUCGAAGAGAUGAAGAGAAUGGUACCUCGCACGACGUCUAACUCGCCGUGGUUUGGCCGGAAAACGCCUCGAAAGCUGUCGGACUCGCCGGAAACUGGGUAAGAUUCAAAUGAGUAUAACUUCUUCAAUACUCAACGAAAUUGGGUGAAACAAAAAUGAAAGUUGUAGUACUCAGGGAGAUGAAGAGAUUGAUACCUUAAAUGCCGGCCAACUCACCGCGGUUUGGCAGGAAAUGGCCUCGAAAGGGACAGUGCUCGCCGGAGGCUCCUGGGAUUUCGUCGUCCUUUCUACAACGAGAGAGAAAAUUGCAGAGGUUUUGAUGGUGACGUCCUCAGCAGAUGGUGUGGUUGAGUGUUGCUUAGGGAAAAGGAGUUGCAGGAUUUCGUCGUCCUUUCUACAACGAGAGAGAGAAAACCUGCAGAGGUUUUGAUGGUGAUGUCCUCAGCAGAUGGCGUGGCUGAGUGUUGCUCGGGGAAAAGGAGUUGCAGCGAGGGAGAGAGAUGAGGUUCGAGAGAGAGACACGGGAGAGUUGGAGAAGAGAAGAGAGAGAGAGACCAGGGGAAAACAAAAAAAAUCAUAAGGUGGGCCCCACGUGGCUCACCAUUUAAGAACUAAAACUAUUUUUAAAAUAUAAAAGGGGGUUGGGGUGUUUCAUCACAUAAAUGACUAUUUUUAAUUCUGGCUCACAAAAUAGGAUCUAUAUCAAUUUUCCCCUAAAAAAAAUUAUUUAACUCAAAAUUCACCAAAAAAAUAAUCUAUAAAUACCUAUGUAUUUGUUCCAAUAUCCAUAUAAAACUCAAUUUUCUCCUACAAUUCUUCCAAUUUAUCUUUCUACCAUUUCUUUCCAUUUCCAAAUUGUUCAACAUGGCAAGAGAGCAUAUUAGAGGUUGUAAUUGGACCUAUGAGGAAGUUGAAGGCUUGCUUUGUGGAAAGAUUUAGUGAUUUUUGAACAUUUAUUAGAAUUUAAAUAUUUUUAGAUCAAAAUGUUCAUAUAAUUAAUUUACGAUAGUCUACAUAAUUUUUUGGGUAAAGUACAAAAAACUACCUCAACUAUUGGUAUCACGACACUUUCAUACCUCAUCUUUAGAAUUUAGUCCAAUGUUAUACCUUCCGUUACUUGGCCGUUUACUUUUCAGUUAAAUGCUGACGUUACUUGAUCCGGAACCCACUUUUUAUUAAAAAAUUAAUAAAAUAUUAUUAAAAACUAAAAAAAUCAUUUAAUAAUUUUUAAAUAUUAAAAUAAUAAAGAAAAGUUUAAAAAAAAAUUAAAAAUCUUCUGUUCGUGCCCUUUCCCCUACCAUUUUCUCUCUCUUCUCCCCCAUCUUCAUCUUCUUCCCCCUUCCAGCUCCCUUCCUGCAACCCAGAAAAAAAAAAGUUAAAAAAAAAAAAUCCCAAGUUCGUCCCCUUCCCCAGUUCCCCCCUCUUUCUUCUCCCCCAUCUUUAUCUUCUUCCCUCUUCCUGUGACCCAGAAAAAAGAAGGUAAAAAAAAUAAAAAUAAAACAAAUUUGUCUUCCCCCUCACCCACCCUCAGUUUGUUCCCCCCCCCCCCCCGGAAGAAGAAGAAAGAGAGAGAGGGGAAAAAAACAAAAAAAAAAGGAAACCCAGUUGAAGGGUUUGUCCGUCCUUCCCCCCCUCCCCCCUUUCGUCCCUUCCCCCUUCAUCUUCUUCCCCUACCUGCUUAAUCUUCAACAAAAAAAAAAUAAAAACCCAUCAACCCCGAAACCCCAUUCCUGAAACCCCCCCCCCACCCAGAUCCCUCCACACCUGCAACCCAAAUCCACCACCCCUCCAAUCUGCAAAAGAAGAAGAAGAAGAAGGAAAGAAAAAAUAAAUAAAAAUGCCAGUUCGUCUGUCCAUCCCCCUCACCCUACCCAACUUGCAGAAGAAGAAGAAGAAGAAGAAGAAGAGAGAAGAAGGAAAAAAAAAAAAAAAAGGAAACCCAAAACCUAGUUCGUUCGUUCCUCCCCCCACCCCCACCCCCAUCGCACCCAACUUGCAGAAGAAGAAGAAGAAGAAGAGAGAGAAGAAGAAAAAAAUAAAGGAAACCCAAAACCCAGUUUGUCUGCCCCCCAACCCAAAACCCAGUUCGUCCGCCCCCCCCCCCCAACCCACCCAACUUGCAGAAGAAGAAGAGAGAAAAGAAAAGAAAAAAAAUAGGUAGGGGAAGAAGAUGGGUUUUCAAAUUUGGGCCGGGGGGGUUUGACGGGAUCUGGGGGGUGUGAUGGGAUUUGGGCGGGGGGGGUUCAGGUAUGGGGUUUCGAGGGGGUUGAUGGGUUUUCAAAUUUUAUUUUAUUUUUUUUUUUUUGUUCAAGAUUAAGCAGGUAGGGGAAGAAGAUGAAUGGGGAGAAGAGAGAGAGGGGGGAAUGGACGAAAGGGUUUUUUUUUAUAAUUUUUUUUUACUUUUUUUAUUAUUUUAAUAUUUAAAAAAUAUUAAAUUUUUUUUUUAGUUUUUAAUAAUAUUUUAUUAUUUUUUUUAAUAAAAAGUGGGUUUCGGAUCAAACCAUGUCAGCAUUUAACUAAGAAAUUCACGCCAAGCUAACGGAAUGUAUAACAUUGACACAAAUUCGUAAGAUGAGGUAUGACAUUGUCAAUUUUAAAAGAUGAGGUAUGAAAGUGUCGUGACACCAAUAGUUGAGGUAGUUUUUUGUACUUUACCCUAAUUUUUUUUUUAAAUUUAAUUUAAAAAAAAAAUUAGCCUAAGUUCAUUAUUUAAUAAUCUCGGGCUAAAAUUUUAGGCCAGAAGGGUAUGAGCAGAAAAACUUAAACAAAAAUGCUCCCAAAACAAAAAAAUUCAAAAACAACCCAAAAUAAUGCUGGGGUACUUUCAUGAUUUUAAUAGUAUUUUUUUAAAUAAUAAUUCUUUUUGUACAAUUUUUUUUUAAAUUAAUAUCUCACAAUAGGUUAGCAAUAAUAUAAUUCAAUCAGUUGUUCAUUAAAUAUUAUUUUCUCUAUUUUUAAACACUUUCAAAACAUCUUAAAAGGUGUGUAAUACCGGUUAAAAAAAAAGUCUUUCACACGCACAUAAUAAUGUGAUUAAAUUAGUUGUUAAAUGAUUUUUUUUAACAAACAAUAUUAUAUAUACUAAGGGGGAGGAGAUGGGCUUAGCCUCACAAUGAACUAGCAAUAAUGUGAUUUAAUCAGUUGUUUAUCAAAUAUUAUUUUCUCUAUUCUUAAUGUAAAUUCAAUAGAAUGUAGAUGGAAAUUGAAAUGCCGAAUUUAUUAUGUGAAUUUAACUGCUUUGAUUGGUUUGUGAGGGAUUUUUUCUAGCAUGAUCUAAGAUUAUUCAUUUAAUUCAAAUAUUUGAUUUUCCUUUUGUCAAUUCACGCAUAUUAUUACGUUUACAAUUUGUCAAUUCACGCAUAUAAAUAUGUUUACAAUGUGAAGAAGGCAGUUAUAAUAGCCUUCACGGGAAGACACAACACAAAACAUUAAGAUUUUCAAGAGUUCUAAGUAGAUCAACCAAUAUAAUACGACAAUACGAGUCACCCACGAGUAAGCCAAAUGGAAGAAAAUAAACUACUCGUGCAGGAUAUUCCAUGAAACGGUGUGAUAUCCACACACCCUUUUUUACUUCUCCCACACCUUUUUGGUUUUCGACCGUUGGAUCGGAUAAAUUGAAUAAGAUCAACGGACAGAAAUUAACAAGGGGUGUGUGAGAAGUAAAAAGGGGUGUGUGGAUAGCACAUCCCUUCCAUGAAAUCAAAGUAUCAUUUAACUAAGUAUGGCCAUGCGCAACACUAUAAUAUACAGAAAUCAUGCUUUUUUAAGUGACCCGAAUAUAUGUAUGAGGCGUCUUUGAGAUGGCAGCUUAUUAACUUGCUAUGGCUCAACCGCUAGUGUCCAAAGUUCACUACCAAAGACCAUGUGGACAGAUUUAAGCGCCAUCUAAAAAGAAUAUAACUUAGACAACUGCUGACCUGCACCAAAAGCUAAAUUAGCAAGAAAGUAAAUUCCAGCUGCAGAUACAAACAUCACGAUACAUCACAUAAACCUAAGAUGAAGCUAAACUCAAUAAAAAGACAUGCCCACUGACUUGCCAGAAACCAGCCAGUUUAGUUUUAGGAGAAUUCACACUUUUAAUCCAGUCCUUAACUAUGUAUUUUUAAGAAUCCUGAGAAAAUGCAUAUCAUAGACGAUUAAAGUUGGAUUGACAAUCACAAACGAUAAACUUACAUGAAGGGCAGUUUUCCAUGGAUAGAUAGUUCUUGUUAUGAUCCUGCAAAGGAGAUGCGAAACAGUUCAAAAAACCGCUAAUAUCAAUCCAACUACAUCCAGUCUCCUUCCUCAAACCCUUUUCCCUCAUUUGUUUCCUCACAGUAUCCACGUUUUCCCACUUGCCUUCCUCGGCAUACAUAUUUGAGAGCAAAACAUGGUAGCCCGUUUUGCCAUUUGCUGCCUCUAGUUCAAGCAAUUUCCCAGCAACAAUCUUUCCCAAUUCAAAAUGUUUAUGAAUUCUGCACGCCCCAAGAAGUGAGCCCCAAAUUUCCAUCGCAUCACCCUCUUCGCCCAACCCUUUGACAAACUCGUAGGCUUCAACCACUCUCCCAACCCUCCCUAACAUGUCAGCUAUAUAGCAAUAGUGUGCCGUUAGUGGUUUAAUAUUGUAUUCCCCUUUCAUUGAAUCGUAUAUCGAAAGACCUUCGUUAACCAAACCAGCAUAACUGCAGGCAGACAAGACCGCAACAAAGAUUAUGGCAUCAGGUGCAGUGCCAGAUUUCUGCAUUGAGUGAAACAAAGAGAGAGCUCUCUCACCCAUUCCAUUCUGACCGUAGCCCAGCAUCAUUGUGGUAUAUGUGACAGUGUUCUUCUCAUGGGAUCCAGCGAAAACAUUUUCAGCAUAAGUGACUGCACCACAUUUGGAAUACAUGUCAAUUAGAGCAGAUCCCACGAAGACGUUUUGGUCAAGGUAGUGGCGGAUAGAGAACCCAUGGAUUUGCUUAACCAUAUCUAUGUUUCCCACAGGAUUACAAGCUGGUAGAACUGAUGCUAAGGUCACAUCAUUUGGUAUUAUUGCUCAAGCAUCUGCCUAAAGACAAAGAAAGCUUCUUCAGAAAUCAUAGUAUUCCAUGAAACAACAUCCCUCUCAGGCAUCUUAUGAAAAAUUUUGAAUGACAUGUCAACAGAAUUGCACCUUGAAUACAUUACGAUAGUCGCAUUGAGUAAAAUAACGGGCAUCAAUCUCAAAUGCUUGAUGAUAAAAGCAUGCAGCUGUCCAGCUAAUUCCAACUGUUGCAUCUGUGAACAUGCAGUUAAAACUGAUAGGAAGGUCACCUCAGCAAGAAUAGCCAGUUCUGAGUUUACAGCUUGAAAGAAGAGGUCGAUCGCUUCAAUAGGACUGUUAUUUUGAACAUAUGCACCGAUCGUAGUGUUCCAAAUCUCUGUAUUUCUCUCCGAACAAUGGUCAAAAGUCUUCCUAGCAUAUUCAAGGCAACCAAACUCGGCAUACAUAAAUAUUGCCGAGCUCACAACAAACAAGUCAGUCACAUAUUCCCCACCCAACCUAAGAAGCUUACCGUAUAAAACACUCGCGUUCUUAUAGUCUCCCAUAGCGGAAAGUGCAGGGAAAACAUUGACAAAACUGACAGCACUCGGUCUUAUUCUCAUUCCCAUCAUCAUCCUAAACUGCUUCACUGCUUCUGCAUAUCUUUCCGUCUUAACAUACCACGAAACCAGCGUAUUCCAAGCAACCACAUUCCUCUUGCGCAUUGUAUCAAACACUCUACGCACUAAAUCAUACUGUGAAUAAUCAAAGUCAUAAUAACAAGCAGAGUACAUAUUCAAAAGCAAAUUACACACAAUCCUACUGGGUUCGGAUGACACCGAAGAACAUGGCAAUGCAGGGCUUACCCAUCUUGAAAUUGCGCGUGUCGGUGCAGGCUUUGAGGGUAGAAGAGUAAGUGUAAGGGUCGGCCUUGGUGCCGGGAGAGGCAGAUUUCAUCUGGGAGUAGAACAAGAGGGCUUCAUUGGCCAUGUUGUUGCAGAUGAAUCCAAUGAUGAUGGUGUUCCAGAGCACGGUGGAGGGGCGAGGCAAAGUAUCGAACAGUUGGCGGGCAAGGUGAGGAGGAGGGAUUCCUCCUGAAAAUGUUUUGCGGACGAUUCAUAAAAUUUCGUGCUAAUGAUCGAAACCAUUAAUGAUAUAAAUCAUUAUGGAAAGAUCAUCUUUAUAAAAAAAAAUUAAAGUAAUGGUUAUUAAGUCAAAUAACUGCAACAAAUAGAUAAAACAGCUCAUAAUACUAUUAACAAUUCUUACUAUAUAUUUUUACACAUUUUGAUGACAUAACGAUUUCAAGUGGUGAUCUUUACGCAACGACAUAUAAUAUGAACAAUUCUAACGAUAAACACAAAAUUUUGAGAGUCCGUUACAACACAUUUUUAGGAAGAUAUCCUUCUCAUCGUUUCAGUUGUAAAGUAUUAUUCUAAGCAUGUAUAUCAAUUGCAUGGCUUGUGGGAUGGGGGUGGUGUUUUAAUUCUUGGAUUUUUUUUCAUGUGGAGGUGAUGAUGUCAUGCCUUUGCUGUCAUUUGCUAAUUUUUUUUCAUGUGGUCUAUUAAUACGUUAGUGGUUGGCAAUGCUCACAGCAUGUAAUGAAGAGUUGGUCAUCUGGAGCUUUCAUUAUUAUUAGUAAAAAAACCUCUAUAUUGAAAAUGAUGUCAAAAUCAGUUUUUAGGCAUGCAUUAGGUGCACAUACCAGCUGAAUUGAUCAGUACAAGUUAGAUUUUCAAAGAAGAGAAAAUGUCACCACAAGACUUUAAGAUUCGAUACGUUGAACUAUGUAUUAACGGAAAACUUACAAUACAAACGUUGCAAAUUACAUGACGUAAAAAUAAACGAGGAGAAUAUAAAAGCCCCCCCCAACCCAAUUAAAUUUGAUCAAUAAAACGCCCUAAUGAAGAGUACGAAGAACCACCAUCCACCAAGGCUUUCUUGCUCUUUUCACUCAUCUCCUUCACUCUUUUCCUUACAUCACUGUCAAGCUCCAUCACUUGCCUUAUCCCUCUUUCUAUGUCUUCUGCACUCACCACCACGUCGCUGUCCUUCCUAUAAUCCAUCUUAAUCUCCACUGCCAAUCCCAACUCCACAACCAACUGAAAGGCAUUCAGGUUUUGCUCCGCGUACAUUGGCCAUGCGGCAAUCGGCACGCCAUUCCAUAAACUUUCCAACGUAGAAUUCCACCCGCAAUGUGAUACAAACCCUCCGGUUGCCGGAUGGCCUAGGAUUGCCGCUUGCGGGGCCCAACCAAUCACCUUCCCAACCGUAGCCGUCCGAUCAAGAAACCCUUCGGGCAAGACUGCCUUUAGAUCCUCGUAGUCUCUUGGCAUAGCUCUCUGGCCAUUAGGUGGGGGCCGGCGUAGGGACCACAAAAACCGAUGUCCGCUGUGCUCUAGCGCGCACGCUAUCUCUUUCACCUGGGCCUCACCGAAACUUCCCAUGCUUCCAAAACACAGGAACACCACCGAGAAAGGAGGCUGAUCAUCAAGCCACCUCAAGAUAUCCGAGCCCUUAUCUUCAUCACUACUUUUGAGAUUCAAUAAGGGUCCCACUGGAUACACGGGUGGGAUUUUAUCACCAGAAUCAAGAUAAUGAAGAGCAUGCGAUUCUAGCUCCAUGAACGUAUUUACCAAAAUACCCUUGGUUUGUUUCAACAUGCUGGCGGAGUUGAGGAUUGAUUUGGUGCCCUCCUUGUCCAGAAACGAACCAGGCAAGACGGCGGCAGGGUAAGGGUUGAUGAAACUCGGGACGGCCAACUCAGCGGUUGAGCUCGUCAACUCAGUUAUAUCUAUUCCCCCCUCGUCACGAAGCGAUUGAAAAUGGAAAAAAAGUGCGAGAGUCGAAGCGUUGGAGGUGAAGAACAGGUAGGAGGGAACCUUAAAUUCGUUGGCCACGUUCAUUAGGCUUACGCAAAAUAUGUCGAGCACGAACCCGGCAAGCCGAGGCUUCGACGUCGACUCAGACUGAUCUGACUCUGGGAGUAAGUUGAUAACGGCGUCUCUGACGUGAGAUUUGUGAUUUUCGACGAGCAUUCUGAAGAAGGACCCGGGAUUGGGGACAGUGUCUUGUUUGUCCGGUUGGGCUUCGGGGAGGUUGACGAAGUUGAUGCGGUGAGAGAUUGAAGAAUCAGUGUUGGUGAAUGGUUGGGCGUGGGGAAGCUUCAUGACGAGGACUGUGAUAAACAGUUCGUCGUCCCGAGCAACGAGUUGCUUUGCCAUCUCGACCGUUGAUACGAUGUGGCC